UUACAUCAGCAGUCAUCUACGUGAUAGAGUGUGGCUGGCACCCUGGUGUGCCCAAUGGGACAUCCUCCAAAACCUGGUGGCUAAUACACGUUCGCAGGGGUCUGCCAUGACACCAAACUGCUGAGACCCUGUGGCCCGACCAUCGGGACCCCCACAGGUGGUGGAUCGCACCCAGUCGCUGUGAAGACCAGCGCCAGGUCAAUGGCAGUGUGUUUUCGGCUGACUCAGGCUGGUCCCUCCUUGGGACACCGGCGCUGGCAGAGUGGUGGCCUCUAAAGCCACAGCAUGCUUGAUCGCACAAACUUCUGACCUAUCAGCUCAGGACUGUGGUGUAGUGGACCACAGUGGCCGCAACGGGUGACGGAGAAUUUGGGUUCGAUUCCGGAGAGGGAGCCUGAGAGACGGCUGCCACUACCAAGGUGGGCAGCAGGCGCGCAAAUUGCCCAAUACAGAAGCACCGUGUGAGGCAGCAACGAACAGCAGCAAUCCCGUUGGCGCCUCUAACGCCGGCGGGACUUGGAAUGGAUGCAAUCCAAACACCGUGAUGAGUACCAACUGGAGGGCAAGUCUGGUGCCAGCAGCUGCGGUAAUUCCAGCUCCAGUGGCGUAUACUAACAUUGCUGCGGUUGAAACGUUUGUAGUCGGCCUCUGGGCCCUGGUCUGCCAGGCGGCCAUGCCGUCGCCCGGAAGGCGGCCUUGGGUGUCAAAGCCCAUCCGCCCACGGGCGGCGGUUGGAACUCAACCCCUGGCAGUAUGGUCCAGUGCCCGCACUCAGAUGGUCAGAUCAGCUCCUGUGUGAAGUCCCCUUCGGUGGGGAUCGAAACGGUCGGUGCACCCAACACAUGCUUGGACGUCACAGGGGGUGUGGCCUCUCGGUGCCGCGCAGCCUCCCCUGUCCAUCACCGGAGUCUACCAUCGCAGUCACCGUGGAAAACUCAGUGUGCCCAAAGCAACCAGAACUGGCUGAAUGCUCCUCCAUGGAAUGUCACAGUAUCGACCGAAUGCGGCAAGAGAGUUGUGCUGGCCUUGGUGCCCAUCCCGGGCAACACGGUGCUGUCCCCUGGCGGAUCCUGGGCCCCCGACUGGCUCUAUCCGGGCCUGAGUGGGGGGGUGUCCCCAGCCCGCCAAGUGGUGGCAGCAUCUGACGCCCCAAAGGGGACCGUUCAGGGUGCAAGAGACUGCAACGCCAGAGGUGAAAUUCUUAGACCGCUGCAAGAUCAACAGCGGCGAAGGCGUUCUGCAAGGGCACGUUCAUUGAUCAAGAGCGAGAGCCUGGGGAUCGAAGACGAUCAGACACCGUCGUAGUCCAGUGCCGUAAACCAUGCCAGCUCGGCAACGGUGGGGAAAGUCAACCAACCCCAUCGGAGCCAUGCCCCCUGCAACGAGAAAUCCAAGCCUUUGGGUUCCGGGGGGAGUACUGUCGCAAGGCUGAAACUUAAAGGAAUUGACGGAAUGGCACCACAAGGUGUGGAGUAUGCGGCUUAAUUUGACUCAACACGGGGAAUGUUACCAGGUCAGGACGUUGCUGGGAUGGACAGAUUGAGAGCUCUUUCUUGAUCCUUCGGAUGGUGGUGCAUGGCCGCUCCUGAUUGGUGGAGUGAUUUGUCUGGUUGAUUCCGAUAACGAGUGAGAUAUCUACCUCCCACUGGCACCAGUCUCGCACAACUUCUGUAGGGUUCAUUGGCCGCCGUUCCCUGGGCGCAACCGGUGGGUCUUAUCCCCCAUCGACCGUCGAGGGGCGGCACAAGGCCACCCAAGAGGCUUGGCCCUUGCUUCUCUGAGGUGCUGUGUCCACUGCAAAGGGCAAGCAUGCUAGAGCCAACAGCAGGUCUGUGAUGCUCCCAGAUGUCCUGGGCCGCACGCGCACUACAUUGACUCAGUGAAGGUGUUCACCCUUGCUUUUCUGCCAAGGCCUGCCCCGAAGGGGGUGGGAAACCCUGCAAGCCUGAGCUGUACUGGGGAUAGAUGAUUGCAACUGUCUGCCUUGAACGAGGAAUACCUAGUAUGCGUGGGUCAUCAGCCCACACAGAUUGUGUCCCUGCC
rnacentral:rRNA from 1 species